rnacentral:rRNA from 1 species
UACGUAGGGGGCUAGCGUUGUCCGGAUUUAUUGGGCGUAAAGAGCGUGUAGGCGGCCAGGUAGGUCUGCUGUGAAAACUCGAGGCUCAACCUCGAGACGUCGGCGGAAACCAUCUGGCUUGAGUACCGGAGAGGGUGGCGGAAUUCCCGGUGUAGAGGUGAAAUUCGUAGAUAUCGGGAGGAACACCAGCGGCGAAGGCGGCCACCUGGACGGAUACUGACGCUGAGACGCGAAAGCGUGGGGAGCAAACAGG